ACAUUUGGGACUGGCAGUGCCCAUAUUAAACUGGGAGAAGGUAUUUAAGGCAAAGUAUGCCCCUGUCAUGUUUAUUAAGGGGGGGGGGCUCUCUAAACCCCGAGAGCCCAUCAGAGAAGCCUUCAAAUGCAGCCGCGGGACCCUCCCGCUUUUUCUUUCAAAUACCCGAGAGAGGAAGGACGAGGACGCCGCAGCCGCCACACUCCCCCCGCCCCCCUCCUGUCCUCACCCGGCCACAGUUCCCAUAGCACAAGUAGACGGCCCAGUAUGAGAGAGCCUGUGACCGGCACCAAAACCAGCAAUGUGGCCAUGAGGACUCCAGCCCUCAGCAUGGCUUCUCCCCGUACACAGUUUUCUCUCGGCCUGCCAUGGCGGUUCCAACGGCCCUUAGACUGGAGGGAGCGAGUGAGCGAACACCCGGGAAAAUGGCGGGAGGGGCCAUGGCUAUUCCGCUGUCGCGGCCGCGCGCGAAGAAAUUGGAGGGCUGAGUGACGCGACGCUGGUCGUUAAGGCAGCGCGAAUGCGGGGGGGGGGGAUGUGGCUUGGCACGGCCAGCUCGCUCGCGACUCCAGUCCGCUCCAGCCCCAGAGAGUGCGCGCCGUAACUAGGGAGAGAUGCAGAUGUCUCCAGAGGGGUGCAAAAAGCUUCUAAGCUAUGCUUACACGUUUUGUUUUGUGUCCAUUAGUUCUUCAAAGGUGCCCAAACUGCUCACAUUGCUUGCUACCUACCGCGCUGUAAUUGCUGCUAGGGUAGUAGUUCGCUCUAAUUAUGUACGGUUAAUGGGCUGUGGUGACAGAUGCUUAAAUCAAACGAAAGGGUUUGGUAGAAACCGUGUGGUCACAGCAACUAGUCUUACGGGUGUGGCACUUUGGGUGGAGUUAGGUGUACUUUCUAUGUGUAUGAGUGGGCUGCAAGAAAAAGAAAGGGAUUAGAAGAAUUGCCUCCUGAAAUAAGAGACAUCUGUCCCACUGAGUUGAUUAACUUCCUCCCAAAUCAGUGUGCACAGGAUUUCAGUUUAUAUCACUGUCUGAAUGGUAAAACUUCUUGUACUUUGAAAACUAUAUGUCUGAAAAGCUAAAACAAUCUAAGUGGUAGCAAUACGCACAUAAAAAUCUUUAAUAUUCAUAGACUGGUGCAAAGAAAAAUUAAUCAUGCAGGAAAAAUACCACCAACCCAGCAGGAAACCCAAUAGUCAGUGAAGAAAAGCCAGUACAAAUACCCCCCAAAGACCCAACCACUUGGCGAGCAAGCAGUAAUUCACUGUGGUUCUGCCCAUAUUGACAUAGACUAUUUCCCUGGCAAUUCCUUGAAUUUCAUGCCAGUCUAGAUGUUUAAUAAAUGGGUAAUUCUUGUGAAGCCAUAAGAAGGUUUCACACUACAUGAAAAUGGAACAGAAUGCAGUGCACCCCAAUCUAGGAACAGCUGCUGAAAAGACAUCUCCGUGAGCCUAUACUGUUUGCACUCGGUGAACAAAGGGCAUGUUGAAGAGGUCCAUUCUCAAUGGAACAUCAAGAUUGCAAAAGAACACGUGGGGACGCCGUCUCUAAGUGGUAUAGAGAUCAAGCCAUUCCUGUUAUAAUUUAUCUUUACUUUCCUCCUAGACAGCAAUAGGAAAUCAGUGCCUCUGCUGGAACACUAGUGUAGGGUUUUCCUAGCAACCUGCCACAAGCCACUGAACAAUAUGAAGACAUGGAUAAUGGUUGGCAGGUGCAGUUCUGAGGAAGAUGUUUGUGAGGCAAAAACACUUAAGAUGGUCCUUUCCAUCUGUAGUUGUUAUAUGUACCUAUAUUUUAAAAAAUACAUUUUUUUAAAGCAUCUACUGCCUAAUUAUUAUAUCAAAACCCUUUUUAAUCAGUUAGUCUGGUUAAAUGUUACAGCCCUAAACAUGGCCCCAAAAUGCAAGCAUAAUGAUGAAUCUAGGUCCAUCAUGAGAUACUAUUAUUCAGACUACCCACACUCCUAUCACGCUACAUGCCUAUGGUUUUGUCUGAGAACUGUAACAACAGAAAAAGUUUAUUUUUAAAUGCAAGAAGAAAUAAUCUGGAAGGAUUUAACAGGCUCUUCCUCAAUGGGAACAGUUUCAUUGGAUAGUACUUUGAAAUCAUAAUGGCAGUAGAGAUCAUGCUUGCUUUGCUGCUAUCAUGUCAUAGUUCUGUACUAUCUGUAUUUUACGGUUGUUUGUUGUUUGUUUGUUUAAUUACAACUCACGCACUUCCUAUAUUCUAAUUGCCUACUUUCUGCUAAAGUUGAUUGAGGUCUCAUAGGAGUAAGUGAUUCCAAAGCAAAGGAUGUGUAAGAAUCAAACCAUAUGUGACCUUAAAUGUGUCAGUGUAGGUGUGCCUUUCUAUUGCUUUUUUAAAGAAAAUACCAGCUGCUGAGGGCCCAAUCCAAAUUAGAACUAUGGAUCCCUGCUGCAUCCUUCAACUGUAUUUGCUCUGGGAGGGAAGCUGCUAAUGGUGCCUGUGACAGCUUCCUUCCUAAGGCAAAUAGCAGCCAUGAGUGGGGUGGGAAUCCAGAUUGCAACUGUGCAAGGCAAAAGCCCUUAUGCUGUGGUCCUGAUCUAGAUUGGAAGCGGUGGGCUGCAGCUGGUAUUUAUUUCAAACAUAAGACGGAACUUCACUGAUGCGCUGAAAGUCGUGGUGUGGUUUAGCCCUAAGUGUCAACAGCACUGAUGUGCCCUGAUCACAUAUUUAUUGAUUUAUUUUAUUUUUAUUCUGCGCUUCCUCUCAGGGCUCAAAUUGCACAUAGAGAUUUCCCUUUUUAUCCUCACAAAAGCCCCGGGCAGGGUUGAUGUGGGCCUUGGGACAAAAAGUUAAAGUGGGCCUGUCAUGAAAUUGGCCUUUGCUCAGUCCAAAGGCCCCUUUAAGUUUCUUGUUGGGAAUCAGGUAACCUCUGUGUGUUUCCAUAUGCCAGGAAAGACUGAAAGAGGUCAUUGCACCCCCAGGCCCCAAUGAAGACAGGACACGGUUAGUUGGAGUAAAGAAGGGCCACUUUAUUAAUGUACAGCAGAUAACAAACUUGCAAUGAAGUCCCUAACUAAUCAGAUUGUGGGUACUCCUCCCGUGUGGUGGCCACCUGCUAGUGGGGGCUAUCCCACACCAGGGCGAAGGACCGGGUACUGAUUUUGUCAGGCGCCAUGUCCUGACCUCUCAGCAGGCUUCACCCUGCUGAGCAGGGAGUGGCCCAACCCACCCCAAACCCAAGCUGCCAAAGCUAUGUGCUGGUGAGUCAUGCCACCCCACUCCCUCUGGGCCACCAAAACCCUGAAGAGCUGUUCCUUGACCCCCCCUCACCCCAAAUGGUCCUCCAGCUGAACACCGAUACUGAAUCUACCUACCCAACACCCACAAUCUCCUGCCACAGAAGUGGGGCAAACCUCUGUCCAGCCCCGCUUCCCCCACCCAGAUAGCACUUCCUGAGAACCUCAUGGCAAGUCCCAGAGGAACAACUAAUUCCCCUGGUUGGACAAAUGUACUCUGUCCCCCCUGUACAGCACUGCGUCCUGCACCCAGAUGUCAGGAUGCUGUAUCACUCCACCGCCCAAGGUGAUGACUGCUUUCCCAAUCUCCCUAUUCACUUUCUUGUGUGCUCUAUUGAAUCAGAGGGGUCCCCCUCAGAAGCAGGUUAGACCAAACCAAUCACUUCUACCCAGGUUUUCCUCCUACCUUACUUCCACCACACAACCAAAAAUUGGGAGUACGCACAACUCCCAAACCCGGGUUGAACACAGUUUUUGAUUAUGUGAAUUACCUCAAAGUGUUGUUAACUACCCAAACCUCAUGUAAAUGGAUGCUUCUAUUGUCUAAGGACAAACCAUGAUCAGGCAGAACCAGUAGCAAAAUGGCAGCUUGUAUAAACAUGAUUUAAACUCCCUGGAUUCCAGGAGAAUUUUGCUGCAGGACAGGAGGGGAAGCAGAAGAAACUGGAGAGAAAGUAAAAGCAACCCUGAGCACCCCAAAAGAAAUUUAGAAUGGCAUGGCCAUGACCCCACUCAGCCAGCCAAUCAGAUUUGCAGAUCUGGCUGAAAGGGAAGGAAGGGAGAAGGGAAGUAAAAAUGGUGGAGAUCUACUUCAAAUAAAGUUGGGAGCUGCCUAAUGCCUGCCCCUGCACUGCACCAUGCUGUCUCUUUACAAAGACAUUGGAUGAUUGGGGGGGUGGGGCCGAGGCCAAGGGCAGUCUGAUGUAAAGAACAAAAUAAAUGUGUGCAGGAGAGGGUUCUAAACUGGCCCCCACAUGGUUUAUCUUGCAGUCUGCCUUCCCACCUGUCUCUCCCCUCAAUCUGUCUCACAGUCUUUUGCACCCGUAGUUUAUCCUCGCAGUCCGUUCCAAACAUCAGUUUUCGUCAGCCAGGCUCUGAUACAGGAGGUGCAUCUAGCUGGGAGAAACAUGCUUGGAAAGAAGAGCUGUGGGGAGGGGAGCAGAGGGAAGUUCUGUCCUCCUCCACUUUCUACGUGAUUGAGGCAUAUCUGGGUUUAAACACAUGGAUCUGCUACUGUCACAUGUAUUUUGAGCUAAUAUAAGUAUUUGCCUUGUUAAUUCAUCUUUAGAGCAGGUGUUAUAGCUAGUAAAACACCAUUUAUAUCUGUCUAUAUAAAAAUCAUAUAUUGUUCAUGCACUUACAUAUUCAAAAUACUUUUUCCUGUGAAGUCAGUGUGGUCUCUCUUUGAGCAUGAUUCAAAGUAAAAAGCUGUUUGUCUAAUAUUAGCGGAUUGCUUGGUUAAGCUACUGGUUAAUUGUACAGUAAUGUUUUAUUGGGUAGUGCUCAUGACUAGAAAUCUGACAUCCAGAAUAAUUAAUCUCUCCUGCUGAAGAAAAAGGAUAAAAGGGAGAUACUGAUGGCUACCAGUAUAAGAUGUGAUUUUAUUAUGGCUUUAGUCCUAGCAGUAAGUUGGGCUAACUAGCCCCCAUGCCUACUUGGUUUGUCAUAGACACUUAAGGGUGUUGGUUAAAGGAUGCUUAAGUCUAUUGUAAGUGGUAAGAGGGCAUUUGCUUCCAUUGCUGUACAGAAAUGUAUGUACAAAGCCUAUGAGUAUCUGAGAGUAAGCCAACCUAACUUGUCUCCAGCAUCAGUGGGCAGGGCACUCAGUAUUGUGAAGACAAUACUGAGCUAGAUAGACCAAUGAUCUGACUCAGUAUAUGGCAGUUUCCUAUGUUCCUAUGGCAUACAGGACGUCAAGGAUUCAGGUGGUUAGAAAAUACCAAUGAUUGCAGCAGUAGUUUCUCAGUCUUGAUUACUGUAAAAUGUUUGUUACACUCUAGAGUUUUGAGGUUUUACUUGUGCUAAUAGUGACUAACUCUUAACUAUUUGUGCUCUAGUAGAGUAUUUUUCAGAAUUCUUCCGUAAUCAGUACUGGUGCAGGGAGGGGAAGACCUGCACAUUGCUAACAGGAAGGAACUUAGAAUUGCAGUGGUAUCCUGUAGGAUGUAUAUAUUUCAUUGUGAUAUAUGGUGAUUUACAAAGGGCCACACUUUCAAUUAUACGUUAUGGUAAUUGUGGUAUUAUGAUUACUGGUAAUAUGUCUAAAUAUAGGACAUAAGUACAUCGGUAGAUAUCAUCUAUAUCUCCCGCUUUUAAUGUAUUUUUUAAAAAACUGGUUGAAUGCCUAUAUGAUAUUUUGACUAAAAUUAAGGCAUUAUGAUUACCUAUACUGGACAUGGCUAAUUUGCUGGACACUUGCAAAAAAGAAAGAAAGAAAGAACUGCAAAAAACCUCAACACCACCACAUAUGGGAAGGGAGGGAAUCCUUAUGCUAAUUUUAAGGAUAAUCUCUUGGCUGAGUGAUGCAGAUCCAUUUUGGACAGCCUUGGGCUUUCAGGUCAGGAGGACAGAUUACACAAUAUUCUAUAUGUGUGUGUAAAACUUAAAGAGUUAUGUCUGUGGGGUGGGGUGGUUGUAUGGCUUUUCUCUGAGUCCCUUUUUCUUACACUUCAGAGGUUCCUCCUGAGCUGUUGCAGUGAUCUUUGCUAGAUUAUUAUGUAGGGGAGAGGUAAAUGGCCAUUGUGACUUACAAAAUGAAGAGAGAUGAUUCAAGGAGAAACUUGCACUGAGGCCCACAUCAGAUCCAUGAACUUUCCUUCUGAAUACACGAAUUGCUCUGUCUGAAUAAAGACAUGAAUCAUGCAAUCUACAUUUAACAGCCCAGAGUUACCUUUUGUCCAAAUUAAGUCCCAAAAGUUGGCAAAUAUCAUUGGGAUUCCUUGAAAAGGUACAGAGGGUGAUGUUCUUGAAAAGGAAAUCAUUCAAGCUCUGCCAGAAAUAAUUGAGCAUGAUAAACCUGCUUUGGGUUCCCUCCAAAUAACUCUUAUAGUUGGGAACUUAAUUUUCAUCAUUUGAAGGUCCUGCACCCUUGACAUCUCUUCAAGAAAGUCCAUCAGAUCUCCCUUAGUAGCUGAUUCCCUAAUGUGCCAAUGAUACAGAUGCUGUAUGGAAGCCAAUAAGGAGAGGUGUUUGACUGGCUGUCUGCUUAGGUACUGCCUCUUUAGUGAGGUCACAGUCAGAAUUCUCUACGAGUAUUGGCAGAAUAAGGUCCUUAAAUCAAAUGAGGAAGAAGUCUCAGGAGCUACCUUACCUAAGUAAUUAUAGUAUCUUAGCUAAGAUAGUAAUUUUAAAGGGAGCAAUAAAUGGUGAAAUGAUCCUUGCAGACUUAGCUAUGGGAUAAUCUGGUCUUAAACCAACAGGACCAGUACUGGCUUCCUUCUACCAUUUUGAUAGAGGAUUCCUCUUAUGCCUAUAUCCACUUUGUGAAGCUGACCCCUACCUCUUCUGCUGUAUCCAGUGCUGUAUAUGUUGAGUUCUUGGGUAACACUGGAUAUCUCCCAUUGUUAUCUACCAUGUUCCUAUGGGGAUUCCUUUAGUAAAGAGCUGUAUCAAGACACUGGUCAGUCUAGAUUUAUCCAUAAAUGAUCUUGACUGGGUUCACACAACCACAAGGAUUCUGGUUAAAAAGUUAAUCAGUGAGCCCCAUAGAGCUGAUUGUGUUAACAGAAUUUCAAGAUAAUUCUGGUCAGUUAACUAACAUCCAACUAGGCUAGAUAACCAGGAUUUAACUAGGAUAGUUAACCAAAGCAGCUUGAUCAGGAUUGCAUUGAAAUUCUGGGUUCACACAAUCAGCUCCACUGGGUUCACUAAUACCGAUAACACUUUAAUCAGGAGUCUUGUGAUCAUGUGUACCCAGCCUCUGUCUGAUACGGUUAGCUUUUCUUUUUUUUAAUGGUUAAAUAAUCAUGGAUGCUUUUGUAUCUUAAUAUUCCAUUACUAAUAUGGCAAGUGUAUUUGUUUAUAAAAACACCUAAAAUAACCUAGGUGCACAAAAGUAAAGGAACAGGUCCUAGCCACAAGCUUACAGUCUUUAAAAAUAUGAGACAAACAGAGAGAGGAGCCUUGAAGGAAAAAGGGAAAAUGUAUUUCAAAGUAUAUUCUCCCAGUUUUCCUUAGAGACUGUCUUUCAUCAUUCUUUUUCACUCCAAUGCAAUUGUAUCCUUGCUCAACUAUCUUUUUAAUAGUGUAGGGAAAUUACAACACAUGAGGCUUAGUACAUUAUGGAUGGUUAUUUACAAUAAAUAUAUCAAGAGUAUAAUUUUUAAAGCAAUUUUCAUAUGUAAUCACAAUAGGAACUGUUACAGAAAACAAUUUCUGAGAAUUGUUUCAACUUGUGGAAUUCUCUGCCACGAGAUGUGAUGUCAGCCAACAACCUGGAUGGCUUUAAGAGGGUUUGGAUAACUUCAUGGAGGAGAGGUCUACUAGUCGUAGGGCUACAGGCCACCUCCAGCCUCAAAGGCAGGAUGCUUCUGAGUACCAGUUGUGGGGGAGUAACAGCAGGAGAGAGGGCAUGCCCUCAACUCCUGCCUGUGGCUUCCAGCGGCAUCUGGUGGGCCACUGUGCGAAACAGGAUGCUGGACUAGAUGGGCCUUGAGCCUGAUCCAGCAGGGCUGUUCUUAUGUUUUUAUGUAAGAACAGGAUCCCAUUCUGAAAAACAGAUCAACUCUUUUUCUUCAAAACUGUAUUUAUAGUCAGCAUUCAUGCAGUGUGAUUCUAAGAGUGUAUACUCAGAAGUCCCACAGAGUUCACUGGAACUUAUUCCCUAGUAAAUGUGCUGAGGAUUGCAGCCAUAACCACAUUCUUUCUGGUUUUCCUUUCUUACCACAAGCUCUUAAACAUUGUUUUUCACACAUUAAUAAGAGACAAUCAUAACUGAGAUUUUAAUUUAAAAUAUGCAAAUUUCUGCUGACGUUAUCCAAGAAAGUGAUUUCUGUUGACAUCAUCCAAGAGAUAUCCCAUGCUAAACAAAUGAGGCAAGUUCCUCCUACCACUUUAGUAUAUUAGAUGCAACUUGAUAAUAACUUGAUAAUCAAUAUUGAUAACUUGAUAAUCAGUAUUAGACACAUGUAUUUAUGACGUUAUAUUUACUUCUGGGGAAACUAAAAAGUAAAAUCUUAAAUGAGUUGUCCACAGUCCUGAUUCCAUGUAAUCAUUUUUGUGGUUUAUAACAGCUUUGCACAGUAAACUGCAACACUACAAAAUAAAAAAUGAAUAUAAUGGAUAAAAAUAUUGAGUGUAAACAGAGUUUUUAUAAUGGUAUAUUGCAUUUUAACAUGUAUUAUAUUAAUGAAAGACUGAGAAGCAGAUUAUGCUCUCUGCAAAUAUUGUUUUCUUUUAACUUCUUAAUUAAAAAUAAUGAAUAUAAGAACAUUUAGUAGUAGUAUUGAUUUGUUAACCUGUUAUCUUUAGGUAUAAGUUAAUAAAAAUAUCUAAAAAUAAUAGGUUAACAAUACUGCUCCUAAAUGAUCUCAUUUUCAUGUAGUGAUCAUGCCACCAGAUACUGUUUCUUAAUUGUUCUUGGUGGAGCUACUGACAAUUAAAGUGGCAAUGACUGUUUCUAUGGUCAUUCAAGUAUGAGGUGAUCUUAACUAAUAUGGUGUUGAAUUACUGAUGCUGCUCAAGGGGUGAAAUAUACUGAAAGCAGAUAGUUCCAGGCUUUUAAUUUUAUAUUUUAUGCUAAUUGCCUCUUUAAUCUGGCACCAGAUUAAUCCUACUCACCUACUCAGCUGCUAGCCUUGGAUAUAGACCCAAGUGAGCUGCUGAUCGAUGACCAGGGUUCUGGCAGUUUCUGGCUAAGUGCAUCAGUUUGAAGUUAGACAUCAGCAGAUGUGAUGGGCAGAGUAACACGGGCAGUUCUGUACCACCUGCACCGCUGCAAGCAUCUGAAACAAAGCCCUCAGUGUUGUAUAAAAAUGCCUUAGCACAAAUGCCCUAGUGCUCUUGCACUUCUGCAAUAUUUCCAUUAUUUCCACUGGAAUGAUUGUUUUGCAAGUGCAUUGCACGACUUUACAUACUAGUGCAAGAGCACAACACUGCAAAUGUUUAGACACUCGCAGCAGCGCAGGUGGUUCAGAACCACCUGUAUUACUCUGCUCAUCAUGUCAACCAUCAUUGUAUAGUCUGAACAUUCUUACCCUUACCCACAGAAAGACUGGGACAUAGAUCACAGCUGAGAAGCCAUUUCCCCUCUGCAUGCCAGCCUGAGGUACUCUAACACAAAAUAAAUUCUGCUUUAGAGAAAUUACAUGUUUUGCCAUUUUAGAGUAGGUGCUCAAAACAGCAGCAGAGCUGCAGCUUCUACAGAAAAUAGAUGUUGCCCAAGCUGAUGCCAACAUUUCCAAGUGAUCUGUGCUGCUGUAGAUGUCUAGGGAAACACUGGCAGUCUUGAACAAGAGCACAGUUGUGCAAAUACUUAAAGUUAUGCUUAUUAUUUUUUUUAUUAUUUAUUAUUAAAAAAUUUAUACCGCCCUUCCAAAAGGCACAGGGCGGUUUACAUUAAAACACCAUUAAAAUCAGUUAAUAAUUAAAACAAAAAUUAUAAAGCAUAAAACAAUGAUUAACAAUUAAAAACAUCAUAAAACAACAAUUAAAUAAUCAGAACAAUUUAAAAACAAGUUUUAAAAAGCUGAGAAAGCCUGGUUGAAGAGAUGUGUUUUCAGGUGUUUUCUGAAAAUUGCCAGAGAUGGGGAGGAUCGUAUCUCAGCAGGGACCACAUUCCACAAUCUCGGGGUAGCAGCCGAGAAGGCCCGUCUCUGUGUAGCCACCAAACGAGUUGGUGGCAACUGGAGACAGACCUCCUCAAGUGACCUCAACGGCUGGUGGGGCUCAUAGCGAUGAAGACGCUCUCUUAAAUAUUAUGCAUUUUGGAAGUGCAAUUUACCUUGGAAAGAAUGAAGUUGUGCUCCUGAAAUGCUGAUGUGCAAUUUUAAUUAUUUGUGCGGUUGCGCUCUUGCACAAGACCAGCAAUUCCUCAGAUGCCCACAGCAGCACAGACCAAUCAGAAAUUCAAUAAGCCUUUGCAACAUGAGGGCCACUGACUUUUGUUCUCUAACAUCUCCAUAGUACAAAUUACAACAGUCUGUCACUUGUUGAAGCUAGCUGUGAAAUAUCCCUUAUAGUCCAACUGUCAGCAGCUAUGGAUGAAGCCUCCUCAGCCAUGACAAUUUAUUUCUUUGCACUCAAGAUUAUUAAAAGGACAAAGCACUGAUCUGUAUGCUUCUCAAAUAUUGAAGUACUCUUGCCAGAGGCAUCUCUUGGAUCUUCUCAUAGGGGAAGGGAGUGGAACUGACCAGAGUAUCUAUGCUGAUUUUCCAUCAUAGUUGAAAAUUUUUAACCACUCUAAAUAUACUUCAUUUCAACAAUAUAUUCUCUUUUAAAGUUAAACUUAGUUUUAAACUUAGUUUUAAAGUUUUAAACUUAGAAGGCACACUGUCAGCAGUGUGUGGGUUAAAUGCCUAUCUGUUUUUAUUUUCUUAAUAUACAAAUAGUGUUUUGUAACAGUGUAUUUGCAUGUAUGUCAGGCAAUAUAGUUGUUGCAUACCCAGGAGAAAUAUAAACAAUCUGCUGUAUUCCUCUGCAUAAAUAUCUUAGAGUAUUUGCCUAUCUAUGUCGUUUUUUGCGUGUGUUUUUGCUUGUUGUUGUUACUGGGUUCUCAAGAGUUUAUUUCUUCAUUUUGACACAAUUGCCAAAGAGGAUACAAUUCUGUUCUUGAGAUUAUACAAUCCAUGCACUGUGAAACCCUGAUACCCUUUUUUCCUAGUUUAUGUAACAUUAGUGGUUUAAUAAGCAACCACAUUAGUGUCUCAGUUCAAGUAAAAAUAGUUCUUUUUAUGCUUCGAGGAAGGGGAAAGGGCAUAUUGUAUACAGUGUCCACUAUAUUAACCUCCCAGAACAUUUUUAAAAAUAGGUAUCAUAUGAAUUUUAAAAAUAUGGACACAAGAUUAAAAGCUAUUCAGUACAUAUACUGUAUGUCUUAUGUGUGCAUAGGUAUGCAACAUAAUUUGUUUCUAGGUCCAAUCAAAGGUGCUGCUUUUGGUCUUUAAAGCCCUUAAUGGUUUGGGCCCUAGAUAUCUGAAGGACCGCCUGCUCCCAAGGGUUUCUGCCUACUUGACAAGAUCAUCAGAGGGGGCUCUCCUCCACGUGCCAACAGUGAGAGAGGUUUGGCUGGGCUGUCGAGCACAUGGGACAGGGCCUUCUCAUGCCCCCAGGCUUUGGAAUGCUCUCCCAGCUGGCAUCCGCUCCUCAGCUCCAUCACAGUUUUUAGAAAGCAAGUUAAAAUGUGGCUCUUCACCCAGACUUUUAUAUGAGAAUACAGUUUUUACUGCUGCUACUGCUUUGUGUUUUUUGUGUUACUGCUUUAUAUAGGUUCUUAAACUUUUAAAUAGAGAUAUUAUUUUUAUAUUUAAUUUCUGUACUUGUAUUUUAACUGUGAAUUGUUUUAUUUAUAUUCUAAUCUAAACUGCUUUGGGAUUAUUUUAAUGAAAAGCAGUAUAGAAACUGAACAAUAAAAAAACAAAAACUAUA